UCGAAUCUUGCGAUAGCAGAACAACCCGUUAACAUGUAAAAAACAUCGGGCAAGCAUUGGGGGGCCUAAGGUCCCAUUUCUGCGAACCCAAGGCAGGUGGCCCCUCACGGGCGUCCGCCGGCCAACAAAAUCAACUGGGCGCUGGCUGCGCCAAGGAAAUGAUUACCGAACUGUUCGCUCGCUUCUCGUUCGCGGGAAGUGGCGUCAGUACGAAACAC
rnacentral:rRNA from 1 species